AGAGUUUGAUCAUGGCUCAGAACGUACGCUGGCGGCACGCCUAACACAUGCAAGUCGAACGAAGUAGCAAUACUUAGUGGCAGACGGGUGAGUAACAUGUAGGUAUCUACCCUAUGGCCUGGAAUAACACGAGGAAACUUGUGCUAAUACCAGAUAAGUCUUUACAGAGAAAGCUUUAUGCACCAUUGGAUGAGCCUGCACUUGAUUAGUUUGUUGGUAGGGUAAUGGCCUACCAAGACUGUGAUCAAUAGCUGAUUUGAGAGGAUGAUCAGCCACAUUGGGACUGAGACACGGCCCAAACUCCUACGGGAGGCAGCAGUGGGGAAUCCUGCACAAUGGAGGAAACUCUGAUGCAGCGAUGCCGCGUGAGUGAAGAAGGCCUUUGGGUUGUAAAGCUCUUUCGUCGGGGAAGAAAAUGACUGUACCCGAAUAAGAAGGUCCGGCUAACUUCGUGCCAGCAGCCGCGGUAAUACGAAGGGACCUAGCGUAGUUCGGAAUUACUGGGCUUAAAGAGUUCGUAGGUGGUUGAAAAAGUUGGUGGUGAAAUCCCAGAGCUUAACUCUGGAACUGCCAUCAAAACUUUUCAGCUAGAGUUUGAUAGAGGAAAGCAGAAUUUCUAGUGUAGAGGUGAAAUUCGUAGAUAUUAGAAAGAAUACCAAUUGCGAAGGCAGCUUUCUGGAUCAUUACUGACACUGAGGAACGAAAGCAUGGGUAGC
rnacentral:rRNA from 1 species